CUAAAUUCCUACCAUAGAUUUUUGUGGUACCUGGUUUUGAUUUUAUUCAAACUUAUGGUAGUUUUUCUUGUUGAGCAGAGAAGAAGUGGGAUCAAUGAAAAAAUGAAGGCCUUGCAACAUCUAAUUCCGAAUUCUAUCAAGGGCUGAUGUGAUCCAACGUAAGUUUGACUUGGAGCAAAAGAGAUUAGAUGAGGAUGCUUUUGUUUAUAAUUCACUUCAACAGCCGCUUAAAUUCUCACCAGCAUACCAGAAGAUGCUUGAAGUUGGGGCUUGCAUGGACAAGGCGAAAUUCCGUCAACUGGUAGAAAACAGAGACGACAAAUUUGCUAAUAUUUCUUUUGAAGAAUUAUUAGCACAAGAAAAGAAGGAUUCAUUCUC